UGCUGCAGCCAUUCCAGCAGGGCGGGCAAGUCCUCUACCCCGUGGUGGUGGAGGCCCAAAACUUGGAGGUCCAGGCGCACGACCUCCCGGUGGAGGUGGUGGUGGCCCAACUCCUGGAGGUCUUGGUGGUCCAGGUGGAGGAGGUGGACCAGGUGCACGGCCUCCAGGUGGAGGUGGUGGUGGUGGUCCAGGUGCACGGCCUCCAGGAGGAGGGGGCGGUGGUGGUGGUCCAGGUGCAUGGCCUCCAGGAUGACCCCAAAACUUGGAGGUCCAGGCGCACGACCUCCCGGUGGAGGUGGUGGUGGCCCAACUCCUGGAGGUCUUGGUGGUCCAGGUGGAGGAGGUGGACCAGGUGCACGGCCUCCAGGUGGAGGUGGUGGUGGUGGUCCAGGUGCACGGCCUCCAGGAGGAGGGGGCGGUGGUGGUGGUCCAGGUGCAUGGCCUCCAGGAUGACGGGGUGGAGGUGGUGGUCCAGGUGCACGGCCUCCAGGAGGAGGGGGCGGUGGUGGUGGUCCAGGNNN
rnacentral:lncRNA from 1 species